UGCUUGAAAGAGUAAUCGAGUACACUGAACAACGAUCAAAAGAGAGUUCGAGCAUACAUGUCAUGUAAGAACUCGUUAGUUGCAAUAUGCAAAGUACUCUUUUGACCUGAGACAUCAUAGAUGUCUAAUGGUUAGGUCCUUGAUCUUUGAUCAUGUCAAAGGCAUUCCAUCAAGAGUGUCCACGGCAUUGUUGGGGUCAAGCUAUCUAGUCAUGUAGGCAUAUGAAUACACAACAAGGGAUCUCUAACCUUCCAUGGUGGAAGGAGAAUACUCUAAGAUAUGAUUCGGGAGUCUUUGGCCAAAGCAUACGAAUAUGACUUAGGAAGUAUGUUCCAAAUCCUAUAAAGAAGUAUCACAUUGGAUAGUAGACAUGAAACAAACUAUCACUCAAACAAUGUGAUUAAAAGUAUUGUAUUAGAGAAGAACCGUAUUGCAUUGUAAUUGUAACUGGAUAGGUUCUCCAACCACUUCUACUUAGCUUGGGUAGCCAUGACAUACUGCUAGGUGUCACUCAUGGUUUGUGGAAGCCCUGAGGAUUAGCAAACACUAAUCUUCAACAAAGGGAGAAUUGAAAUGUUGUUUUAAUUCACAAUCGAUCGUUAAGAGUAACAAUCGCCCAUUGCCUCGCUAAUUGGAACCUAAUGGAUCGUACACCGAGUAAGGAUGAAAGUGAAGAAAUAUAAAUGAGAUGGAUAGGCAAUUAAAUGGUUUAAUUGAGAAUGGUCAAGAUUAAUUAAGUAGUUAAUUAAUUUUACGAAAGGUUCGUAUUGGGCUUUUAAGUUAGUUUUGGGCUACGGGGUCCAAAAAGGUUUGGUCCACUAGGCCCAUUAUGUUUAAGUUGUAUGACAACUAAAACAAAUAUGGGCAAAUAGCCCAAUCACUUAAGAUGGCCGGCCAUAGCAAGGGUAGUGGGAAGUUUUGCUUAAUUGCAAGUUUUCCACUCACCUAAGAAAAGGGAUAUAAAAGCAUCUUUGUAGCUUUUACCUCAUUAGGGUUUUCUUGAGACAAAAAUGAGAAACACUUUCUCUCUUUUUCUCUAAAGGAGGCCGGCCACUUAGAGAAGAUAUAGCUAGCAAUCUUUUCUUCUCUAAGUCAUCCAUUUCAUCUUCACACCUCAUCCUUGGUGUGGAGACUUAGAGACACCAAAUCUUUGGUGUUUUUGGAGAUCCCUUCCUCCCAUCCUCAAGGAGCAAAGGAGCAUCAAAAGGAAGAAAAUCACAAGGAAGAUCCAAGGAGCUAGGAGGUGACUUGAAGGCCCUCCACUUGGGUGAAUCCCUUGUGUAAACAAUGAUGAGCUUCAAGGGUAAUGAAUCUCUAAAUCCUUCCUUCUCUUCAAUGUUGUUGAAGAGUCUCAUGGUUCACCAUUCACUAGGCUUUGAAAGUCAUGGGUUUUAGAAUUGUUUUUGAAUGCAUGCCUACUUUAAUAUGUUAAUAGUUUGCCUAUGUGUUCAAAUAUUCUCACAUGUUCUUAGCUAGGACAAAAUGUUUCCUUCAGGAGAGACUGCUAAUCUACUCAAAUUAGACUCAAUUACACUUAACUAGACUUAAAAACACUAAACUAGACUCUUAUGACUCAAACUACUCAAAACUACACAAAACAAACAAACUGACUCCAAACUAACACUAAGGAUGACUUUAGACGAAAAUUGAACUAAAAAGACUCAACACAAUGUGUAUGGACGAAUUCUAACUUAUGUUGACUCAAAAUAUUAAAAAGAAACAAGUUUGGACAGAUUCUAACGAAAAGACACGAAAUAUAAAGGGGGAAGUGGUUGUUGACGAAUUUAAAGUAAAAGCAAACAGAUUGAAAGACUCUAAACAACUUUGGAUGAAAUUGAGUGUUUUCAUGGGUGAAUGGCUAGCUAGAGGGUCAUUCUCUACACAUGACACAUAUGCAUACAAAUCAAUUUUCAAUUAUUCUUCCUAUAAACCAUGAAUGACAAUGCCCCAAGUUAACCAUGAAUUGCACAAAUUAACCAUCAGAUUUUCCUAAAUUCAUUGAAUUGGACUCAGUGACACAACCAAAUUAUUCUUAUCAAGUUCCCUACAUGAAUUGCAUAAUAGAGAUACAUAUCAAAGAUCAUUAAGUUCUAUGAAAAUAAUAAGCAUUGACAAGGCAUCCGUAACUAUGAACUGCAUGAUACUCCUGCCAAGAAUUUACUUAACACGAUCGUGACUAGCAACCUCCACUACUUGCAAAUAUAAGUUCAUAACUAUUAGGUGAAAUUCCUUUAUAUUCUAGCAUCAAAUCCCUGCAUGCAAACUAAGUAUGCAUCCUCAAUCAACACACAAGAACAAGUUCUCCAUAAAAUAGAUAAGUAAAUUGCAUUCAUGAUUUAUGAAACAAUAACUGGAUGUAAUCAAUUCAGAUCACACAUAUGUUCAUGGCUUUGAAUUCGCCUCUAGCUAAAACGAAAUUAGUUCCACAUGCUCACAAUUAAACAAAACCAAUAUAAUUUAAACAUUGAAAUAAAACUAAGGAUAGAAAGAACCCAAAAACGCUCCAUCACUCCAAUGGCCUUGGAUGGCAGGCACGGCACAAAACUCCUUCUUCUCAUUCCUUCCUUGCCUGUGACACAAUUCUAUAUUUUUCUGAUUUUUAGGCUCUUAUGUGUGUGGUACUCUGAAUGGUGUGAAUUUGGUGUAUAUAUAUAGCUAAGGCAGGGCAUAAAGGUUGUAGUGGAGAAAGAUUUGGCAUGACAGAUUCCUAGGGAGAAAUGGAUAAUGUGGUUCGGCACAAAUCUUCUAGAAAGGGGGUGUUGUGGCAGGUUUCUAGAAUUCUGAUAUUAGGUGUUCUAAUGUGAAAAUAAUUCCCCCAUGCAGCUGGAAAUAAGGUAGACUAAGAUUAGGAUAAGAUAGGAUAAGAUAAGGUUGGUUUGGAUAAUGUUUGGAUAAUGUUCCUUCCUUUUAGCUAUUCCUUAUCUUCCAAGCCUUGAUUUAAUUUCUCCAAAACUUUAGCACAUUCCUAGCCUCUUUUGAUCUUCAAAAACAUCAAUCCACCUUGCUCCAUACAUGUGCUAUCCAUUCUUGGCCCAAAACUGUUCUAAAUUGCUCUAAAUUGCCUUUUCUUGCCAACUUUGUCAUUUGAACCUGAAAACACACGAAAAUAGUUUAAAACACUCUAAUAAGUAGAAACUAACUACGUAAAUGCAAGGAAAUAAGCUAACUAAGUCGCAUAAAUAUGCUUUUAUCAUUUGUCCAUCUCUUGAUAUUUCUUCACGUUCAUUUUUACACAGUGUGCAAUCCAUUAGAUUCCAAUUAGUGAGGCAGUGGGUGAUUGUAACUCUAAACAAUCAAAACACGAACCAAACCGGACCGCCCCAAACAGUUCGCUUUCUGCGAUUUUGAAACGAUUGAGAAAAACGGUUUGGUUUUGGUCUUGGCCAUCUGAAACAGAACUACACCGCAAAAAAUACUCGUAAUAAAUUGUUGUGGUCUAAUUGGUUGUUUACUUGAGUCCAUACAUUUUAUCGUUUUUUGUUUAAGUUAUUCAUUCCUCCUCUCAUAUUCCAAGCAGUUGACAUGGUGAAACUGAAGGAAAUUUUGUGAAAAACAUGUUCAUUUGAGCAACAUCUAUGACAUGCAAUUAACAAUUAAAGGCGGAAUCAUGCUUGUAUGCACUCAAAAACAAAACAUUACCCAUGAAAUUCAAAGCCUAGUAGAAGGGUGAACCAAGACUCAACUCAAGAACAAAGUGAGUUGAGAGAUUUUAUACCUUUGUUGAUUCCUCUUUGCAUAAGCAAGGGCUAAUCACCCAAGGAGAGGGCCUUCAUUCCUUGCUUCUUAGAUCCAUGGAUUUCUUGGAUGAGGAUGAUUGAAAGGAUUCUCCAAGUUCCCAAAAUUGAGAACCUCUAAUUUAUCCACACCAAGGAAGGACUUGAAGAAGAGAUGAGUAACCUUGGAGGAUGAGAGAUUGCUAGCUAAUCUCCUCCAAGGGGGCCGGCCUCUUAGAGAGAAAGAGAGAGACAUUGUGUUCUCAUCUUUUCUCUAAAAGAAACCCUAAUGAAGAAAAGGCUAUAAGGUCAUAUUUAUACCUACCUUCAUUGGAGUGGCAAACUUGUAAUAAGUCCAAAACCCACUCCUUUAUCAAUAUGGCCGGCCAUAGGGUGUUAUUGGGCUGUUCAGGCCUUUGUGCAUAUUUAGUCAUUAAGUUGUCAUACAACUUAAGUCAAUGGUCUUGACGUUCGAAGCCCAUUGGGCCUUGAGGCCCAAAACUAACCCGAGGUCUUUAACGAACUUUAUUCGUUUGAUUAAUUAACAUAUUAAUUAAUCAUUACCAUAAAUAAUUAAACCAUUUAAUUAUCCUUACUCAUCUUCGUUGUUUCUUCAAUCUCUACCUUACACGGUGUACGAUCCAUUAGGUUCCUUUUAGCGAGGCAAUGGGCAAUUAGAACUCUUUCAAAUCGAUUGUGAAUUGAAACUUACUUUCAAUUCUCCCUUUAGUGUUUAUACACGUUUAGGGCUUCCACAAACCAUGAGUGACACCUAGCAGUAUGUCAUGGUUACCCAAGGUAAUCAGAAGAGGUGGAGAACCUAUUCAGUUUAGGAUUACAAUGCAAUACGGUCUUUCUCUAAUACAAUACUCUUGACCACAUUGUUUGGUUUGAUAGUUUAUUCAUGUCUACUAUCCAAUGUGAUUCAUUUACUUAUAUGAUUACUUUGAAUGUGAUUUGAAAUGACUUCCUAAAUCUUAUUCAUACUCUGGCCAGAGAUUCUUAAUCAUAUCAUAGAGUAUUCUCCCUCAAACGGUUUGAAGGUUAGAGAUCCCUUGUUGCGCAUUCAUUUGCCUCCAUGGCUAAGUGGCUUAACCCCAACUAUGCCGUGGACACCUCUGACAGAGUGACUUUGACAUAGUCAAAGAUCAAGGACUUUACCACAAGACAACUAUGAUGCCUCAGGUCAAAGGACUACUUUGCAUUAUCCCAACCAUGAGUUCUCAUGUGACAUGAGUAUGAGAACUCCUCGUUGAUCGUGUUCAGUGGACUCAUUCUCUAUUGAGCACCUACAUGCUUGUCUUGGUGUCAAUCACACCAAUGACUCGAGACCAGUCACUCUCCCUGAGAGAAGACACAACACGUACUAAUCUUAACGGACUGUCAAUGCCCAAUUGACAAUCCUAUGAUCAGGAACGUUUAGGAUAUGUAUAUGAAAGAGAAUGGUCUCAUGAAUCUAACUUCUUUAAAUUACAUUCUCCUAAUUACAUAUUCCUUGGACUUAUCGUUUAAGCAUAUAACAUUUAUAUGAGACCCUUAAAACAAUAAUCUUUGCCCUUGAUAUUAAACUAGAUUAGUUUAACAUGUGAAAUGUCCGUAAAGUAUCAUCAUAUGAUUGGUUUUAGGGCACAUUUCCAACAGAAACAAAUAGCUAAGAGGAAAAAAAAAAUGAUUGUUCACGAGAUGGAAUUGGAAUAACGAGGCAGAUAAUCAUGUAAUCACUCAGUUCGGAGCUUUUUGUUCUCUUGCAUCAAAUUUACAGCGUCGUGAUCUUUCCGCUAGUCUCCAGUAGGACUCACUAGCUACAAAAAAAUAAAACGCAUAAAAACAAGGAAAUCAGAGACAAUAUUUUCAUUCAAAAAUCUUGAGAGCAAACACAUAUCUUAACAGACUAGAAGGACCAUGAUUACACUGGCUAACACAUAAAUACCAAUGAGUAUUACAUUUAUUUCUAAAGAUUCAAAUUUGAUAGCUUAAAGCCUUAAGCUACAUCUAUACUAGGGGCAAUUUCCAAAUAUGCACAUGCAAUGGGAGAGUUCUCUAGUCUUGCAAGGUGAAUGAUGUCACUUUACUUUUUGAAACCGAACCAAAAUUGUUUGAAACCACACCAAAUAGAAACCAAAUGGUUUGUUUCCAUUUUGGUUUUAGCAUCAAAACCGCAGCGAAUCAAACCAAACCACAAAGAAUUUUGAUUUCGGUUUCAGUUUCACCCAAGAUCGCACCGAACUAAAUAAUGCCCACGCCUACUGUAAAUCAAUACUCUUGAUAGUUUAUUGAUAUCUACUAUCCAACGUGAUUCUAUUGUUUAUAUGAUUACCUUGAAUAUGAUGUGGAACGACUUCCUAAAUCUCAGUCAUACUUUGACCAGGGAUUCUUAAUCAUACCAUCGAGUAUUCUCCCUCAACAGUUUGAAGGUUAAAGAUCCCUUGUUGUACAUUUGUGUGCCUACAUGACUAAGUAGCUUAACCCCAAGUAUGUUGUGGACAUCCUCAAAUGGAAUGCCAUUAACAUAGUUAAAGAUUAUUGACCUAACCUCAAGACAACUAUGAUGUCUUAGGUCAAAUGACUACAUUGGAUUAUCCCAACUGUGAGUUCUCAUGUGACAUGAGUAUGAGAUCUUUUGUUUGAUCACGUUUAGUGAACUCAAUCUUUAUUGAGCACCUACAUAAUUGUCUUGGUGUCAUUCACACCAAUGACUUGUGACCAAACAAUCUUAUCCGGAUUGUCUAUGCCUAAUCAGCAAUCUAUGGUUUGAAAUUUUUAGGAUAUGUGUAUGAAAGAGAAAUGUCUCUUGAAUCUAAUUUCUUUAUAUUACAUUCUCUUAGUUACCUAUUCCUUGACUUAUUUUUUCAGCAUAGAACAUUUAAUGAGACGGCUCUAAAAAUAAUCUUUACCCUUAGAUUAAACUAGUUUAGUUUAAUGUGUGAAAUGUCCGUAAAGUAUCAUCUUAUGAUUGGCUUUAGGACACAUUUCCAACAUGUACUUGUGUGGAGGGUGAUUCCAAACUCGUUAUUGAUGCGGUUUAGGGCCUUUGCGAUGUUCCUUGGAGACUUAUACCACAUCAAGGACAUUCUACGAUUGACUUCCUCUUUUAGUUUGAUCCAAUGGACUCAUAUUUUUAGAGAAGUAAACAUUGUAGCUAAUGCCAUUGCGUUUGCAGGCCUUUCUUUCCAAAUAUCCAUAGCUGGGAUAAAUAUGUUCCAAAUGUGCCCUAUAAUGCUCUUUUAUUUGAUUUAUUGGCACUGAUUAUACUAGAGGUUUUUGGCCCCACCUGAUUGUGGGUCUAGUGUUGAAAUGGACAAUGUACUUGGAGUUCUAGCUUGCAACCAAUAACAAGAGGAGAAGUUUUUCAGUGUACCAAGAAUACAAUACAGUACACAAGUAUCAUAAUACAAUUAAUUGAAAUUUUGUUUUUUUUUUCAAAUUUCAACCAAUUGUAUUAUUAUAUUUGGUGUACAUGGCCUUGUUCCAGGCACAUUGAAAAAUCUCGAAUCAAAGAGCAUACGUCCAUCACCAUUUCUCUGUCCAACCAAACAAGAGACUUUUCAGUGUGCUCGAAACUCAGAUACAUAUGUCAUAUAUCAUUAUACAAGUUGAGGGAUGAUGAGUCCAUUUUAUACUAUAUAUUUUCCCCUAUUCUUGGUAUAUUUUGGUGAGAUUUUGAUACUUUAUUAUGUAUUUUCAAUGUAGGACAUGCGAAUCCAUUUUAGGUAUAAAGUCAAACGGUGGAAUUUUUGAGUGAUUCCAAUUGGAACGGGUUUGUGAGUCUGUUAAGAAAGUUGUGUCAAAAUUUCAGAAUUUUAUCCCAAAGCAUCUAAUUGUGGCGAAUUAAUUUGUGCUCAGUGCGUGGUGCUGGGAGAUUGGGCUGCAGAGCUUAUUUGCGACUUUUGGGCUAGAAGAUGAUGCAUUUUGGACUUGGGCUCUUUUAGGAACUUGAAGAGGAGGUUCUAAUAUUUGAUUCGUUUUGGGCCCAUUUUGGAGCCCUAAAGGUCCAGAAACGUGGCUAUUUUCUACUGGACAGAUUUCCUGGUCAGAUUUGGUGUCUGUUUUUAAGUUAUCUUUUUAUUAUUUUGCUUCCUAGUUUAUCGAGAACGUUUUCUAUAAGGGAUUUUAAUGUGUAGUAUUAUGAAUAAGACUUUUUAGAGAACUUAACAAAGUUUUGGAGAAUUUCAGACUUUUUACCUACAAGGUGUUUUCAAUCAUUUUCUAGUUAAUGGUAUUUUCUUUGGUUUUCAUUAUAAGUAUGCGUAACUAAAUCCUUCUGUUAUGAGUCUCAGCAUGAAUAUGUAAUUUUAUUAGUUUGCUUAUGAAUGGAUGCAUGUUUGCUUUGAAUUAUUAAUCAUCGUGUUACUACUAUCUAAUUGUCUUAAUGUUUAGCUACAAUUAGGGUAAUUAGACAAGUAAUUUGAUGCAAUUUCUGUUGGAACAUCACCCCGAAAUUGAGGAGGGCUUCUUGUGAUUAGUAAUUGUAAGUUCACUUAAGGCAAACAUCACGCUCUUAAGGGUUGCAUGGUUAUUCAAAGAAUUUUCACAAAAUUUAAUGAGUCUUGCAUGUUUAUAUUUGAUCUGAACAUUACAGACGGGUUGCAUGUUAGAUUUAUGUUUUCGCUUGAACAUCACAAAGAAAAUAUAUAUUAGAAAAACCUAACCUUUAAAGCACGUAUGUGGAAAUUCAUAAGUGAUUGGUAAAAUUGCAUAGUAUUGUUAAUGAUGAUGGCGGAACCGUAGUCUUUCUCAUAAUUAUUUUAAUUUAAAAACGUUUUCCUUCUUGCUGCCAUUAUUUCCAAAUUUUUAGAUUUUUUAUUGUUAAUUUAAGCUUUUAAAAUAAAAAAUUCUUAAAUCUUUGAUAAAAUCUGUUUUGAAUAAUUAAUUAAGAAUUAGUUUAAUUUUAAAUUAGUCAAACAAUCAUGAUAGAGAAUGAUCUUGCAUGAGCGCUUAUAUUAUAAUUUUAUUUUUUACAUUUCUAAGUAUUUUACGUGAUUUUAACUCUAUUUGCAUAUGUACUUAAAAUUCUAUCAAGGAACACUUAAAAAAAACUUUUGUUCACUUAAAUUAUAACAUAUGACGUAUCACCACGUGUUCAGAUCAACUUGAAAAAUCUCUCCAUUCAGAACUAGAUCCCCUUCGGAUCCAAAAAGAUUUGAGCCCACUAAUCA
rnacentral:lncRNA from 1 species